UUCGAAACGAACGGUUGUGCGAUUCCAACAGCUUCAGCGUGUGGCUGGUUAUAUAUAUAUAUAUAUAUACAUAAAGGAAAUAUAUAUGUACAUAUAUAAACAUUGUUAUUGUAAAGAUUUAUAGAAAAUUAUGAGUGAAAAAAUUUGAAAAGAAGAAUAGCAAAUUAAAAAAAUUAACACUUCAAAAACAAUAUUCGUGCAAAUCUAGCGCUUGAGUGGGAUGCUAUUUCUACCACUAACGGAAUAUUUCCCGAGAAUCAAGAUUUCGAAAAUAAAAUUUAGUUGUGGCAACUUUUUCAUCGCAAACAUAAUUGGGAAAUUCUCUGCGCUCAGCUGCAUCUGCAGCUAACUGUGUUGUUAUUUAAACAUAAGAAAACUGUGUUUUUACAUUUUCUAAUUUGCACCGUUAAAUUGAGACAUUUUGUAAUCCCACACCACUCAGGAAUAUAGCAAAAUUCAUAAAAAUGUUCAAUCAUAAUUGGCUAACGUGGCCGGUGGUGAUGUGCUGGCUGCUGACCUGCUGCUAUUUAUUGGUCGGGACUGAGGCGCAGGUAAGUUAAUGCUACUCAUUAUGCUACU